UCUCUUACAUCGCUGGGUACGGGAUAGCUGGCAGUUAAUCUUUACAGCACACAGAGAUGGUGUUCAGGGAACAAGGGAACAGUGAAGGGUCUCUGGUCUCUGCUCCGGCGCUUAGAUGAGCCCUGAGGGGCCUGAAAAGGGAGAUGCCUCUGACAGUUCAAAGGCCCGUUAUCUUAGAUGCAAAAGACAACGGACAGGCUCCGUUAAGGUAAAGCUUGAUCUUUGUCAAGGAAACCACAGGCCCAGGAUGUGACUACCGUGAUGACUCACUUUUCCUGAGGGAUUUUCAUGUUCCGUUCCCCCUCUGUGGUUACCUUCCGUCUGAGUUCGCAGGGCCUGCCAUGCUGGCCUCCCCUGAGCUUGUCAGGGUUCGUAGGUGGCCCCUUUUAUCGUCCACAAAGGUCUUUGGAAAGGUAACUGGUUAAGGAGCUCAAGAUGAGGUCACACUGGAUUUAGUGCGUGUCCUAAAUCCAAUGCGGGUGUCCUCAUAAGAUGAGAGGACCCAGACACACAGAGCGGCAAAGCAGACACCCACGUGAACACAGGGGCAGAGACUGGAGAGAGGCUGCCACACACCAAGGACACCACCCAGGAGCCACGGGGAGUCACCAGGGGCUGGAAGAGGCAAGGAAGGGUUGUCCCCUCGAGUCUCUGGAGGGAGUGGGGCUCUGCCAACACCUGAUCCCAGAUUUCUGGCCCCCGGAGCUGUGAGAGAAUAUGUUGCUAUUGCUGUAAGCCACCAGGUUUGUGGCAAUCUGUGAUGGCGGCCGCGGGAAACUAAUGCACGCUGUAAUCUGCGCCUUCGCUGUAAGCACCUGGCCAAGUCUCUCUGUCUUUAUUCAUCUCUAUUGUAUCCACCCCCUAACCUGGACCCAGGGCUGCGCCAACACUGGCAGACACUCAGCAGGCUUGCUGAGGUCUCUCGAAGGCUGCCGUCCUGGGGCAGAUGGGCCUGGGCCUGCCCGGUGUCAGGAAGGAGAAGAACAUGGGAUUUGCUGAAUGGAUGUGAUGGAGAAUGGGAUUCACAGAUCUCCAUCAGAGGCUCGUUCACGGCUAGCUGCUUUAGGAACAGGGCGAGAGACGCACACGCUGUACAUUCCGUAGCAGCAAGGCAGGCGCAACUGCGAGCCAGUUCUCACACCACCUCCCUGAAAUGGGUCCCUGAGUCCCGGCUCUACCCCUUCUCGAUGGGGCGCUCAGGCUCUGGUGUGUGGCCCCUGCCUCCGCAAGCCUGCCAUCAUGGCUCAGGCCUCUGGUCCAGCCACUUCCUCGUACUGGACGCAAGGCUGGAACAGCCACUGCAAAUACUUCCAAACAAACAGUCCAUGUCUCCUCCUCCUCCCCGUUCUCCUACAAAAACCAUGUCAAGGUCAAAGACUUUGGAGGCUGGGCCAGCUGACUAGCUGGCCAGGAGAGCCUUUGGGGGGAAGAGGGAUGGGCCCGAGCUCUAUAAAUGCUUUCACGGGAGGAGCCCUAGGAGGAUGCGGAAAAUAAAAAGGAAAACCCUUCUCCUUAGAGACCCUAACCUUGCCUGGCCCUGCCGUGGCGCCCUCGGUACAUGGUGGGGACCUUUCGAACACCUGGAGCCUUUGUGUCCCUUUAAGAAAAGCCCUUAUUUGGGUCACCUUUACGGCCUAAGGCACACUACUGUCCACAAGUAUUGCCAAAUCCUGUUUGACUCAAGGUCAUUGUGUGAAACUGGAUAGGCACUCGCCCCCAAAAGUAAACAGACCUUUCCUGGACCUGCCGGCUGUUUGCAGACUCGGCUCUUCCUCCUUUCUUUCUCUCUGGGGGCCUGUCCCCCUCAGAGUCCAACCCACCCCAAAUCCCAGCUGGAAUAGGAGGGACAGUCAUCUAUGGUUUGACACUACCGCCUGUGUAACCUCACUGCAGGCUGCAGGGGGCGCUGCCCUCCCAGCUCUCUCCAGCAGCUCCAGGACCUACCCAAGGCCCAAGGUUCACAUCACCCACCCGGCAGUUGCCUGGAAAUUCCCCCCUCCACCACACUUGCCCCUUGGUCCCCAAGUCCACUGGGCCCCCAAACACUCCUAGGUCUGGAGGGUGUCCCAAGGCCUUCUCACUGGGCCCAGAUGGGCUCAGGCAAGAUUCCAAAUUUCCCACCGUGAUGGUGUGACAGAGAGGACAGCUGAUCCAAAAGCCGCUCCAGUCAUUGGCCGGGUAAUUAUGAGUUACAGGGAGCGUUCCUGGUCAUCCCGACAGGUCUGGUGACUGAACCUAGGGCGAAGGCACUGGGCGUUCCGGAGGCCCCGUGGAUCCUGUUUCUGGGGACCUGGUGCCACUUUAAGAUAUUUCCAAUGGGUCCUGGGUUCAUUCGCUGGAAGAGAUGGUCCAACCCGAGUUGAGGUGGGGCGCGGUUCCCAGAGGGUGAUCUUGCAGGGCCCACUCUACACUCCCCCCCAUCCCCCCCCGCAAUGCCAUAGAACUCUUUCAAUUUAGGCUUGUUUAUAGUCAGUCAAGUUUUUCCAGAUUGACUAAAGGAGUUCUUCAUGUGCCUACUGCAGCCAGUUACAGGAGCAGUGAGAGACCCAGGACUGGGGCCAGCUGGGAGAGUCAGAAGAAAGUUUCUGUAGGACGCAGACAGCUAAGGAAUGGCAAUCACACGCGACUGUGCUCAACGCCACGUCCCCCGGCAACGACACCCUCCUCUGCCCUCCUGACCCCCUCCGAAAAGGGCUUGGGGAGCCCUUUCUCGGGGCAUCACCCCAAGGAAAUGAAACUGCCGAGAACAAGUCUGACUUCUCCUUUUUCUGUGUGUCCAAGGGUUAAAAACACUGCUGAACGCCCCUUCCAACUGCAAGGUCAAGCAGCUGUCCAAACCACCCAAGGAGAAGUGGGAGCCCCGGACAGCAGACCCCAGCUCGCCGGGCCAGGACGCUCCCGCCGGCUGGCGAGGGAAGAGUUAAAUGGUGAUCAGCUUUGGCUGAUAGUUCAGGCUCCAAAGUUCAGUCCCAGCCCCAGCCACCCCCGAGGAAUUGUAAAUCUCAGGGCAGCAUUUAACAAAACAAAAGCAACCUGGAAUUACAUGCAGGUUUGGUUUUCUACAUAUUUACUUAAUCUCCUAGGUAUGUGGCCCCCUGUCAGCUCAGCUGGCUUCCCUGGCCUUUUCGCCCCCCGCCUGGCUCUCAACAGUUUAAGUUUCAAACGAAUUCCCUGUUUUUGCUCUUCCUCUUCGCAGGGCUGGGUGAGUCAGCCUGGCUUGGGUCGGAGUUGGGUGACAGCCGGCUCACCCUCCCCACUCCCCGGCACCAGGUCUGGGGAAGUUGGAGGGAGAGGUGCUGGGACUACCAAAAAGUUACAGGCAGCACUGGGAGGCUAGGAUCCCCUCCCUGCCUGUAUUGGGGGGUGGGGUGGGGACAGGGCUGAAGGUAAGAACAAGGGCCCUUUAUCAGCUGCCGGUUCCCCUCUCUCCAGGUUUCCAAACACCUGGGCCUCGCAGCGCCUGUCAAGCCAGACUAGACCAUCAAAGACCACUUCCCCUUUUUUCAAACCCAAACCAAGUCUCCUCUCUCUUCGUGCCUCCAGCGCUGCAGCCGCCCAGGUUGGGGCUGGGGAGCGGGUUGCCAAGGAAAAUACGAAGCGCCAGCAAGCAGCCGCUGGCUCCCAGCUCCCCCCAGGAGCGCGCACACCCUCCACUCGCCGCGGUGGCGGCAAAGAGGGGAAGCGAGAAGGGGGAACGCAACACCUUCCCGGGGAGGGAGGAAUGGGGUGGGAAAUGGGUGGGUCUCCCAAGUUUCGGGGUGGGGGUGAAUAGCCAGCCAAGCCACAGAUCCUCUGGGAAGCAGAUCAGCCCCGGACCUGCCAAAACAGACAGUCCAGUGCCCGGGAAAUUUACAAGGUCCCGCAGCUUGGCGGGCAGCACCAGUCCGACGGCCGCUUUGGCCACCAGAUAGAUCAUCUGGAGAGGGAACACCACCAACGCGCCCAGCCAUUUCCACACCAUCCUCCGCGCCGCGGAGCCGGGCAGGGCGGGGGGCGAAACUCCCCGAGCCGGACAAAA